CUGGGAUCUCUCCAUCUACCAACAAUGUUUUUCGAAGAGAAUAUCGAGUUUGUGCAAGAGGAGGAUGAAGAAUUGGUGAUAAUCCCAAUGGCUGGAACAAAUCAGGAAUAAAGGAGAUAAAUACAUUGAAUUUAUAGCAGAAUGUGUCUCCAAGACGGCAGAGAAAGCGAAGGGGAACCAGGCAAACCCAUCCGUGUCUUCCCCUCGGAACCCGCUGGUAGACGGAGGAGGAACCGCUCCCUGCACAAAUAUCCACAUAAACCCUUUUUCCGGAGUCAUUUGCACCCUGGAGCCGCCGUGGGGCUGAGAGGGAGGAAUUUAGGAGUCAAUAUGAUUUGAUAUUGGACGAUUUUCCCCUCCUAUAUCCUUAAUUUGGACAAUAAGUGCUGGAAAUGUGCUGCAGCGAGGGUGCGGUGGGAGCGAUGCGGAGCCUUCCAGCCUUUUCCUAUAGAUGCAAAAUAUGACACUUUAAAAUACAGGUUGGGAAAAAAGAUACUAUUAAAAAUAAAAUUUAAAAAUAGAUAAAUAAAACCACGAUGGGGGUCUCACAUCUGCUCCCAUUUCUAAUUUCCCCUUCCUAUUUGGAUUUUUGGGUACCACUCUCCUAAGCGGUUCCACAUAAGUGUGGCCAUCCCUGGGCUGGUUCGGCUUCAUUAACCCAAUGACCACGGCGGGGAGAGCGGAGAAAUGAGAAGAAAUCACCUAAAAAGCGCAUUUUUGAGAUUAAACCCCCCAUUUCCGAGCUCAGGGGUGGUUUGCACAUCCAGCCCCCUCCUCCCUUCCCAGUCACAGGAAAACACCGGUUUAAAUGCGGUUUGUCUCCUGUUACCUCUAGAAUGAGACCUUUCCCCCUUGUUUUCUUUCUUCUCCUUUCGCCUUGUUUUCUUCCCUUUUCCUCUCGUUUCCUCCUCUUUUUUCCCCGUUUUUCACUCCCUCCCCCAAUUUUCGUCUUACAAACCCCCAUAUUUCAUUAAACCGCUAUUUCCCCGCAUAACGGAGCGGAAAUGUCUUUCCGCAAACCUACCAGGGGGGGAAUUUGCUGUUAUUUUUUGUUAUAUUUGAUUAUAUUUCACGCUCCCACCUCAAACCCGAGCCCUGCCCGCGCAUCCAGUUCCGCCUCUAUUACCCUUAUCAUAAAUCUUUACAUUUUAAACAUAGAAUCCCCUUCCCACGCUGCGCAGAUCGGACACACGCUACAAAACGUUCACUGCUUCAUAAAAAUUAAAGGCGAAAAAG